AUUGAACGCUGGCGGCAUGCUUUACACAUGCAAGUCGAACGGUAACAGGCCGCAAGGUGCUGACGAGUGGCGAACGGGUGAGUAAUGCAUCGGAACGUGCCCAGUCGUGGGGGAUAACGCAGCGAAAGCUGUGCUAAUACCGCAUACGAUCUAUGGAUGAAAGCGGGGGACCGUAAGGCCUCGCGCGAUUGGAGCGGCCGAUGUCAGAUUAGGUAGUUGGUGGGGUAAAGGCCGACCAAGCCAACGAUCUGUAGCUGGUCUGAGAGGACGACCAGCCACACUGGGACUGAGACACGGCCCAGACUCCUACGGGAGGCAGCAGUGGGGAAUUUUGGACAAUGGGCGCAAGCCUGAUCCAGCAAUGCCGCGUGCAGGAAGAAGGCCUUCGGGUUGUAAACUGCUUUUGUACGGAACGAAACAGUCUGGGUUAAUACCCUGGGCUAAUGACGGUACCGUAAGAAUAAGCACCGGCUAACUACGUGCCAGCCGCCGCGGUAACAC
rnacentral:rRNA from 1 species